rnacentral:rRNA from 1 species
AGCCAAUAGAUACCCGGGUAGUCCACGCCCUAAACGAUGUCUACUAGUUGUUGGUGGAGUAAAAUCCAUGAGUAAACGCAGCUAAACGCGUGAAGUAGACCGCCUGGGGAGUACGGUCGCAAGAUUAAAACUCAAAGGAAUUGACGGGGGCCCGGCACAAGCGGUGGAUUAUGUGGAUUAAAUUCGAUGCAACGCGAAAAACCUUAACCUGGCCUUGACAUGCCACUAACGAAGCAGAGAUGCAUUAGGUGCCCGUAACGGGAAAGUGGACACAGGUGCUGCAUGGCUGUCGUCAGCUCGUGUCGUGAGAUGUUGGGUUAAGUCCCGCAACGAGCGCAACCCUUGCCAUUAAUUGCCAUCAUUUAGUUGGGCAC